GUACUCUUCUUGUGCAAGUCUAACUUCCUUCCUUUAAGAGAUACAGUUAAUAUCAUGCUUGCUUACAUGGUGAAGAGAAAUCUAGAAAAUGAAAAAUGCAAGAUAUACUGUAUAUUUUUCUCAGACUAUUGAUGAAACGAUAAUGCGUGCGAGAUGAAGAGGAAUGACUUGAACAUUUCAACAUGUUAAGUGACAGGCCUACUAUGUUCCAGGAGGAUUAAAAGGUCUACUAUGUUCCAGGAGGAUUAAAAGGUCUACUAUGUUCCAGGAGGAUUAAAAGGUCUACUAUGUUCCAGGAGGACUAAAAGGCCUACUAUGUUCCAGGAGGAUUAAAAGGCCUACUAUGUUCCAGGAGGAUUAAAAGGUCUAUUAUGUUCCAGGAGGAUUAAAAGGUCUACUACGUUCCAGGAGGAUUAAAAGGUCUACUAUGUUCCAGGAGGAUUAAAAGGUCUACUAUGUUCCAGGAGGAUUAAAAGGUCUACUAUGUUCCAGGAGGAUUAAAAGGCCUACUAUGUUCCAGGAGGAUUAAAAGGCCUACUAUGUUCCAGGAGGAUUAAAAGGUCUACUAUGUUCCAGGAGGAUUAAAAGGUCUACUAUGUUCCAGGAGGAUUAAAAGGUCUACUAUGUUCCAGGAGGAUUAAAAGGUCUACUAUGUUCCAGGAGGAUUAAAAGGUCUACUAUGUUCCAGGAGGACUAAAAGGCCUACUAUGUUCCAGGAGGAUUAAAAGGCCUACUAUGUUCCAGGAGGAUUAAAAGGUCUACUAUGUUCCAGGAGGAUUAAAAGGUCUACUAUGUUCCAGGAGGAUUAAAAGGUCUACUAUGUUCCAGGAGGACUAAAAGGUCUACUAUGUUCCAGGAGGAUUAAAAGGUCUACUAUGUUCCAGGAGGAUUAAAAGGUCUACUAUGUUCCAGGAGGAUUAAAAGGUCUACUAUGUUCCAGGAGGAUUAAAAGGCCUACCAUUUUUAGGAGGAGAGAGUGUGUGACUGUGUUGGGAGCCAGUCGAGACAUUCUGAACAUGUACUGGGGGAGUCUGUCAGCAUGUUGAGAGUAAGGAGUGAUGUUCCUUGGACUGUGAACAUCAGCUUUCCAGGCCACGUCCCCUGGGAGAGUGUGUGGCCAUGCAAGUGUGUGAGUAAGACGGAAUUUGUUCUCAAUUUGUGCUCAACAUCAACUUUCCAGGGUUUGCUUCCUAGGGGCUUGAACCUGUUUGUAUAUGUGUGUGUUUGUGUGAGCGGAGUGGAGCGAGGAGUAGAGCGAAGCGAGGAGUGGAGAGGAGCAGAGCGGAGCGGAGAGGGAGCGGAGCGAGGAGUGGAGCUGGAGGAGCAGAGCAGAGCGGAAGCGAAGCGAGGAGUGGAGAGGAGCUGGAGGAGCAGAGCGGAGCGGAGAGGGAGCGGAGCGAGGAGCUGGAGGAGCAGAGUGGAGCGGGAGCGGAGCGAGGAGUGGAGAGGAGCUGGAGGAGCAGAGCGGAGCGAGGAGUGGAGAGGAGCUGGAGGAGCAGAGCGGAGCGGAAGCGAAGCGAGGAGUGGAGAGGAGCUAGAGGAGCGGAGCGGAGAGGGAGCGGAGCGAGGACUGGAGAGGAGCUAGAGGAGCAGAGUGGAGCGGAGCGAGGAGUGGAGAGGAGCUGGAGGAGCAGAGCGGAGAUGGAGCGGAGCAAGGAGUAGAGCGGAGCGGGGAGUGGAGAGGAGCUGGAGGAGCAGAGCGGAGAUGAAUCAGAGCAAGGAGUAGAGCGGAGCGAGGAGUAGAGCGGAGCGAGGAGUGGAGCGAAGUUGGAGUGGAGCUGGAGCGAGGAGUGGAGCUGGAGUGGAGCUGGAGUGGAACGAGGAGUAGAGCGGAGCGCGAGUUUCCCAAAGGCUGGAGCGUCGGCCUUCUCAGCUCCAAUUUCUCUCCAAUAGCAGUCACUUCACGACCUCAGGACACGACCAGCCCAGCAUGCAUUUGUAGUCUACUUGUGUGCUGCUAUAAACUCUUGCUUUAGCAAGAGCCUAAUAGGCUAAAUAUUUUCAUAAAGAAACUUAUAAAACACACAGGUGAAAAAUCAAGGUGAUUUACAAAGAUGAGGACCAAGAGCAAGAGAGGGAGUAAAGAAUGAUUGUGGAAUCUGAAAAGACAGGUAUCCCGAAAGCAUGAUGGGGUACUUAGUAUGUGUUCAUGCUAACAGAAAGGAAGGAGGUCGGUAGCUAGCUAAGUGUGUCAUUGUAGCAAAGUAUUUAUAAACAAAAAAAUAAUUUUCAUUAUAUUAUCUAUUCAUUAGGCCAACAUUGAUUUUGGCCCAAUAGGCCUGGCAUUUUACAUGUUUCAAGUAGCUUUCUGUUUUGAUAGGGUCAUUUUACCUCAAAUCCUUUAGGCCUAGCUAUAGAAAUAUAAUAAAACGACUACACAUCCCUGCCCAGCCUGGCAAGAGCGUCCCAAAGGGUGUUCGGCAUCCGCAGUGGCCCUGAAGCGCUGAGAGUGUAUUCUCUGCUGCUGGCCUGCUCUCCAGGCACCAUCACAUGGGCCUGAAACCACAGACUCCGGCCAAACUCAUGUUUCUAAGAAUGAAUUCAAAGGCCCUGUAGAUGGAGCAUAAUAAGGCUUUUAAAAAUUUAAUUUCUAUUUAAUUCUAAGUAAAUCACAACCUAUAUGUGUAGUUUAUACGCUAUGAUACAACAAAAUGUUGUUUAAAUGCUGAGCGCUUAAUGUCCCUGCCAGCCUAGUGUGUCGCACUUGCAAAUGCUUCACAAUGUGUUUGUUUGUCGGCUAUAGCCUUGAAAUAAUAGUUAAUAAUAAUAAUAAAUAAUUAAUUUUCCUUCCUUCUUAGGCUCCCUGUCUGGCUCCUGACCUAUUUACAGUUAGUUUAAUACGACAUGUAGCCUAGUUGAAAUUAUAAGUGCUUCUUAGUCACAUUUUCCUGUUGUUUAUUAACCUGUAGCUUCUACUCGGGACGCUUGCGUCCCAACUAGAGCUCUGGAAAUGCAAAUGCGCUACGCUAAAUGCUAAUAGUAUUAGUUAAAACUCAAAAGUUCAUUAAAAUACACAUGCAGGGUAUCGAAUUAAAGCUACACUCGUUGUGAAUCCAGGCAACAAGUCAGAUUUUUAAAAUGCUUUUCGGCGAAAGCAUGAGAAGCUAUUAUCUGAUAGCAUGCAACACCCCAAAAGACCCACAGGGGACGUAAACAAAAUAAUUAGCAUUUCGGCGUUACACAAACCGCACAAUAAAAUAGAAAACAUUCAUUACCUUUCACCAUCUUCUUUGUUGGCACUCCUAGAUGUCCCAUAAACACUAUUUGGGUCUUUAUUUCGAUUAAAUCGGUCCAUAUAAAGCCUAGAUAUCGUUAUAUGUAGACUGUGUGAUAAACGAAAAAAACAUCGUUUCAAAACGUAACAUCAUUUUUUUAAAUUAAAAAAGUCGACGAUAAACUUUCACAAAACACUUCGAAAUACGUUUGUAAUGCAACUUUAGGUAUUAGUAAACGUUAAUAAGCGAUAAAAUUCAUCAGGAGGCGAUGUAAAGAUCAUUAGCUGUCCGUCUGGAAAAAUGUCCGGCUAGAAACUCAACGAAAAUAUCCGGUCCUAGACCGAAGGAGAUACGGUGUCCUGCAUGUGUUUGACCAAGAAAAAACUCGAAGGAAGACUCUAGACACCGUGUGGAAGCUGUAGGUACUGCAACCUCAGUCAAUUAAUUGUGGUUCACGUUUAUCAAUGGGUUCAAGUAGCGCAUGGAUAUAUUUUCCCAUUUUCAGUGAUCAGUUUUUCCUGUGCUUUUCGAUGUAAAUGCCGUUCUGGUAAAGCCACAGCAGUGAUUUAACCAGUUUUUUAAACGUCUGAGUGUUUUCUAUCCACACAGACUAAGCAAAUGCAUAUACUAUAUUCCUGGCAUGAGUAGCAGGGCGCUGAAAUGUUGCGCGAUUUUUAACAGAAUGUUCAAAAAAGUAGAGGGUCGACUUAAGAGGUUAAAAUACUUUUCAUUCAAAUCGUACGGUUUGGUUUUAAAACUUCAAAACCAAACGUUAGGUCCAGGUAGUCGCAAUAAUAGAUGGGUUUUGGUUAAAUUGCGAUUUUAAUGAAUGGAAUGAAUUCGGAGCGGCUGUUUUUUAUUUCUUUGAGCGAGGAGCAGGUUUUUAGCGGAGUGGUUCGAACAGAACGAUGAGCAGGAUUUACGACCACUCAACUCAUCUCACAUACUCUGGUGUAUGUGUGUUUGAGAGUGUGCGAAUGGUUGAAACAUGAUUGCGUGUGUGCGUGUCCCUCUGUAUGUGUUUGAGUGGCGAACAUCGACUGUUGAGGCUUUGCUUCCCAGGAGCCCAACCCCCCUUCCCCCACCCCCUCUCCCCUAGACGUCUGGGAGGAAUAUUAUAUCAUCCACAGGACAGAUAUGUGUAAAAAAAAAAAAAACCUUGCUAGUGACAGCCCCUUCAUUCCUCACUGAGACAUAUUCUAAAAGAGACAUACUAUUCAGUCUACUACAGCACAUCAUCCCUCUACAAUUCCACCUCAGAGUUCCACCAGGCUUCAGUUGAAAUGAGACCAUUUCAUUCUAUAACAGACUGCAUCCCUGAAAGAAAUAAGGACUUCAAAUUGACGAUAAACAUCAGUUUCCCACAGAGCUCCAUCCAUAGAAACAACAUUUGAGAAUUCUACAGGGAUUGUUGCUAUGUGACAAUGUUAGUCUACCAUUCCAUUUCACAUGACCCUCAUUAAUCAUACAGAUUCCUCUCUUUCAUAUGAUCAGCUUUACAGCACUUGGAUUAACACACUUAAUCCAGGUCGCAAUUGUAAAUGAGAACUUGUUCUCAACUUGCCUACCUGGUUAAAUAAAGGUGAAAUAAACAUUUUAAAAUGUAAAAAAUCCACAUGACAGAAAUACUGCCUGAAUAAUGAUCAUAAUUUAGACCAGCCUCGACUAUUUUAUAUGAAUAACACCUUCAAAUGAAAGAUAGAACCUGUGAUAAUUAUUUGAACAAAAUGGACUUUGAAGUAAUUUGUCAUUCUGACUUAAAUGAUGUCAAAAACACUAACCAUUCAAUCAACCAAACUCUUUAAAGGGUAAUGUUUCUGCCCAACCCUGCUCUGACACCUGUGUCGCUGUCUGAGUAGAUUAGCAAUCAAGUCUCAUCAAGUCUGGGACAAAAACAGGCCCUUUCACAAGCAUUUAUUCUGAGUAUGCAUCAGGCAAUGUGUGGCAUUUAUGAAUUUCAGCUGAAUUCAGGCCUAUUGUUUACUAUAGAAGCCAAUUACCAGUGUUGUGAUGUUUUGUCUGAGAAGAGUUCUGCUGUUAUCUGAACACGGGCAUUCAUUUUAUGCUUUUUUCCUGAUGCUUUCAGGAUGCCUCACUAAGGUGUAUUAUCACACUCAUUCUGCUGGGAAACGCUGAGAGGGCAGCUGUGAUGAACAGACACACACACACUUGCACACGCAAGGACACAAGCACAGUUGCACACACACACAUUUAGCUCCACAGCACUGGGGUCAAACACAGGCCUUCCAUUUGACACCUGCAUUUUACCAUGUUCAGUCAGACUAGGGCUGUCGCGGUCACAACAUUUCGUCAGCCGGUGAUUGUCAAGCAAAUGGUCUCACGGUAAUUGACCAUUGAUUAACAUAAACAGAUUUAGCAUCUCCUGGCUUCCACACAGUCUAAUAAAUCCAUGUAAUAAAGCCAAUCCAUUAUUUAUUUCAGACAGGUCUAAAGAAGCAUAUGAACAAAAUGUAAUCUAUUUCAGAAGAACAGAAUAGCAUGCUCUGAGUUGUCCUUAUGUUAGGCCCUGAUGUGGCUAUGCCAAAUGGCUGUGGGCUACACUAGUUCAUUUAGCAGACAGGAUUUGCUUAUAAUUCUGUGGCAUUAUUUUAUAUUAUUUUAUAGUAUGUAGAAUACAAUUGAACAAAGCUGAAUAAAAUAUAAAUAUUUUCUCAAUUA